rnacentral:rRNA from 1 species
UGGCCUUGACAUACUAAGAACUUUCCAGAGAUGGAUUGGUGCCUUCGGGAACUUAGAUACAGGUGCUGCAUGGCUGUCGUCAGCUCGUGUCGUGAGAUGUUGGGUUAAGUCCCGCAACGAGCGCAACCCUUUUCCUUAUUUGCCAGCGGGUUAAGCCGGGAACUUUUAAGGAUACUGCCAGUGACAAACUGGAGGAAGGCGGGGACGACGUCAAGUCAUCAUGGCCCUUACGGCCAGGGCUACACACGUGCUACAAUGGUCGGUACAAAGGGUUGCUACCUCGCGAGAGGAUGCUAAUCUCAAAAAGCCGAUCGUAGUCCGGAUCGCAGUCUGCAACUCGACUGCGUGAAGUCGGAAUCGCUAGUAAUCGCGGAUCAGAAUGCCGCGGUGAAUACGUUCCCGGGCCUUGUACACACCGCCCGUCACACCAUGGGAGUUUGUUGCACCAGAAGUAGGUAGUCUAACCGCAAGGAGGACGCUUACCACGGUGUGGCCGAUGACUGGGGUGAAGUCGUAACAAGGUAAGCGUAGAUGA